UACAGAGGGGGCAAGCGUUGUUCGGAAUUACUGGGCGUAAAGGGCUCGUAGGCGGCUUGGCAAGUCGGGUGUGAAACCUCCAGGCUCAACCUGGAGACGCCACCCGAUACUGCUAUGGCUAGAGUCCGGUAGGGGACCACGGAAUUCCUGGUGUAGCGGUGAAAUGCGCAGAUAUCAGGAGGAACACCGGUGGCGAAGGCGGUGGUCUGGGCCGGCACUGACGCUGAGGAGCGAAAGCGUGGGGAGCGAACAGG
rnacentral:rRNA from 1 species